UACAGCGGGGGCAAGCGUUGUUCGGAAUUACUGGGCGUAAAGGGCGCGUAGGCGGCCUGCUAAGUCGAACGUGAAAUCCCUGGGCUCAACCCAGGAACUGCGUCCGAUACUGGUUGGCUUGAAUCCGGGAGAGGGAUGCGGAAUUCCAGGUGUAGCGGUGAAAUGCGUAGAUAUCUGGAGGAACACCGGUGGCGAAGGCGGCAUCCUGGACCGGCAUUGACGCUGAGGCGCGAAAGCCAGGGGAGCAAACGGG
rnacentral:rRNA from 1 species